AUUAGUUCCGCGCUGCGCACCUAGGUCUUAUGUACCUCUAUAAUUUGUAUAGAUAGGUGACGCCCUCGAAACUGCAUCUAGUGCGCUAUCGGAUACCGAGUUGGCGAGACGGAUUCUCAAACUAACAAUUACUGGGACACCGAUUGAGGAGGUGCAGUUAGCUGAGCAACAAGUAGGCGUGGCGACGUCGCCGCGCCACAAGUUGGUCCUCCGCGUCAACUUAAGACCACGCGCAUCGAAAGUCUUCUACAUUAUCGAUCCUGGUUCCUCUCAGGCAGCUGGACCUCUUUCUUCGUAGCGGCUAACAUCACCAUGGGUUGAUCUAAAACUGAAGCUGUAGUAGUGUAGCUUCCACUGAUUAUUUAUUUUUUUAUAAAUAGGGUAUUAUAAAAUAAUAAGUAGUCCGUGGAAGCUACGAUUUUAGUUUAACUUCUUUUUUUUACUUUUGGAUCACACGAAAAAAUUUGCAAGCUGAGUGUAGUAACGCAGGUUUAACGUUAUAUCAUUCUCUAGUGGAAGCUUCGAUAUCGAUCUCCUGUAUUUUAAAUGCCAUGUCACUGGAAAUUCAAAAUGUUAUAACCUGGAUUAUGACCAUUGCCCCCUAAAGUCGCGAAUCCAGCACGGCUUAAAUGGGUGGAUACCCAACAAUGACACUGAUUGCAAUAACAUCCAUGCAUUUUAAAUGCAGAUCUGCAAUCAUUAUUCUCUUUCU